GGCGAACGGGUGAGUAACGCGUGGGUAACCUGCCCCUGAAUCUGGAAUAACUUCGCGAAAGCGAGGCUAAUACCGGAUAUUGUCCCAGGGACUCUGGUCUCUGUGAUGAAAGAUGACCUCUUCACGAAAGUUGUCGUUCAGGGAGGGGCCCGCGUACCAUUAGCUAGUUGGUAGGGUAAUGGCCUACCAAGGCGAUGAUGGUUAGCUGGUCUGAGAGGAUGACCAGCCACACUGGCACUGAAACACGGGCCAGACUCCUACGGGAGGCAGCAGUGAGGAAUUUUGCGCAAUAGGGGAAACCCUGACGCAGCAACGCCGCGUGAGCGAAGAAGGCCCUCGGGUCGUAAAGCUCUGUCAAGUGGGAAAAAAGCUUACUGGUGAAUAGCCAGGAAGACUGAUGGUACCAUUGAAGGAAGCACCGGCUAACUCCGUGCCAGCAGCCGCGGUAAUACGGAGGGUGCAAGCGUUGUUCGGAAUUACUGGGCGUAAAGGGCGUGUAGGCGGUGUGGUAAGUCAGAUGUGAAAGCCCUGGGCUUAACCCAGGAAGUGCAUUUGAAACUGCCAUGCUUGAGUAUGGGAGAGGAGAGUGGAAUUCCC
rnacentral:rRNA from 1 species